rnacentral:rRNA from 1 species
UACAGAGGUCCCAAGCGUUGUUCGGAUUCAUUGGGCGUAAAGGGUGCGUAGGCGGCGCGGUAAGUCGGGUGUGAAAUCUCGGAGCUUAACUCCGAAACUGCAUUCGAUACUGCCGUGCUUGAGGACUGGAGAGGAGACUGGAAUUUACGGUGUAGCGGUGAAAUGCGUAGAUAUCGUAAGGAAGACCAGUGGCGGAGGCGGGUCUCUGGACAGUUCCUGACGCUGAGGCACGAAGGUCAGGGGAGCAAACGGG